UACGUAGGGCGCAAGCGUUGUCCGGAAUCAUUGGGCGUAAAGAGCUCGUAGGUGGCGUGUCGCGUCUGCCGUGAAAGCCCAUGGCUUAACUGCGGGUCUGCGGUGGAUACGGGCAGGCUGGAGGCUGGUAGGGGCAAGCGGAAUUCCUGGUGUAGCGGUGAAAUGCGCAGAUAUCAGGAGGAACACCGGUGGCGAAGGCGGCAUCCUGGACCGGCAUUGACGCUGAGGCGCGAAAGCCAGGGGAGCAAACGGG
rnacentral:rRNA from 1 species